UCCCUGGUGGCUCAGAUGGUAAAGCAUCUGCCUCCAAUGCGGGAGACCUGGGUUCGAUCCCUGGGUUGGGAA
rnacentral:tRNA from 1 species